UUUUUCAAAUUCAAAAAAUCAUAAUUAUUUUUUUUUUGUUCUCUUUUCUUAUUUUUAUUUAUUGAAACCUGUUUUGUUUGGUUAUCCAGACAAUAUUAUGAAAUAACGGUAGCAAAACUAUAAAAGCAAUAAUAUUGGGUAUUGGGUAACCAUCAAGUUCUUUAAUCGUGAAAAACAGUAACAAAAUCCACAAUAUUUCUUGGAUGUUGUUUCAUGGUAAUCUUUUGGUAUUUUGUAUAUUUUGUGUCAAAUUCAUUUUAAGAACAAAAGACCAAACAUUAGUUUUUUUGGAUAGUUUAGAUGACAACCAAGAAGAAGAUGGUUUUUUUUUUCUUUUUUCUCAAUCAAAACUAAUCACAAAACACCAAGGUGACCAAACUUGUGGAACAAAAAAUCCAGCCAUAUUAUCUUUAAUAAAUAAAAACCAUUUGAUUAAAAAGUGACACAAAAACCCCGUAUCAAAUAAGAAUGAGUAAAUUUAGUUUUUAUUAUUUUUAAAAAAAACCAAACAUACCCUUUUUAUCUUUCUUCUUCUUCUUCUCUCUUUUCUUUUUUCUUCUUUUCUUCCGCCUCCUUCUCCCCACCACCAUCACCACCAGCAGCAGAAAAUAGCUCUGCGAAAACCAGCAGCAACACCUCCGCUACCACCAUCAGCAGCACUUUUGUCUCCUCCACGAACAGCUCCGUCUAUUUUUCUUCUAUUUUUAUGUUCAUAUCUAUCAUCUCCUCUUCGUUCCGCACCACCACCAAAUCGACGACCAUUUCUUGGUCCUCCGUCAACACCUUCUCCUCCAUCCCCUCAAACCAAGACCGUUUAAAGAUACAAAAUAAAUUCAAAAUCACUGCUCGUCCCUCACUUACCCGUCCGUGCCGAAAAUUCCUCUCUGAUUCAAUAGAUUUUACCCUAUUUUGUUAUCUUUACAACCAAACACGUACAAUCGAAGGUUGCAAUUUCUUCUCCUCGUUCUAUGAAUCAUCGAUUUGGUCUUACAGAAACUUUUUAACCUAACCCAGCGUUGAAGUUGUUUGCAGAGAAGGAAAACUGGUGCCAGAUUUGGGUUUGAGUGAAAACUGAUAGACACGUCCUCCUUUCUUUCUACCUAUACUAAUUUGCUAAAUUGCAGUUUGGCUUUCAUUUUUAUAUGUCGUGGAGGACCAUCCAGAUUUUGUAUGGGUGUUAAAUUGCAAUCUGCUAUGGAUGCUCUUUACCUAGCUUCAUAUGCAGGCACGACAUGGUUGCUUAAGGUCUAGUACGUUUUGAUAUUUUUGGUUAAAUCGAGAUGCCAAGGACGAGGAUAAAGGCGAUAUAGCUUUUUGGAGGUGUAGACCCAAAGCACUAUAGUGAAAAGGGAUACUGGCAGAUUUUCUGUCGGCGAAACCAAUCUUGUUGGUGUUUCAUAUAAAUGGGUCGUGGAAUCAAUUACGAAGGAGGUCAAAGUUCUUUAGGAUAUCUCUUUUCCGGUCCUGAGAAAUCAAAACCAUUUUGCACCUGUUGCACUUGAUGCUGCUUUAACUGCAACUGUUGCUGCUGCUUCUCAGGCCCCCCAGUUCAGGUGGAACAAAAUGUACCUGUGGUGCAAAAAUAUAAGCUGGGUCCAUCAGAAGUGGUGCAAGGUUUUCUAGCCAAUAACUACUAUCGCGCUAAUGGCCAAAACGCUGGCAAAUUCAUCCUUAAAUUCUGACGAAACCAAUUAUGGUUUCAUCCUAAAUUGAUUGCAUCGUAUUUAUGAUGAAACCAAAAUCGGUUUAUCUAAUAUUUUUGUCGGUGGUGGUAGUGGGAGGUCGUGGUACUAGUGGCGGUGCGGCAGCAGUUGGAGGUGUUGUUGGUUUUGGCCGGCGUUGGGGAUCGGCGGUGGUCGUCAGUGAUGGCGGUGGUCGUCGGCGGUGGUGGUGGCGCAGUGGUGGUCGGCGGCGGCGGUGGCUGCGUGGUGAUGGUUGCGUGGUGGUGGAGCGGUGGCGGU